rnacentral:rRNA from 1 species
GAUGAACGCUGGCGGCGUGCCUAAUACAUGCAAGUCGAGCGAACAGAUGAGGAGCUUGCUCCUCUGACGUUAGCGGCGGACGGGUGAGUAACACGUGGAUAACCUACCUAUAAGACUGGGAUAACUUCGGGAAACCGGAGCUAAUACCGGAUAAUAUAUUGAACCGCAUGGCUCAAUAGUGAAAGACGGUUUUGCUGUCACUUAUAGAUGGAUCCGCGCCGCAUUAGCUAGUUGGUAAGGUAACGGCUUACCAAGGCAACGAUGCGUAGCCGACCUGAGAGGGUGAUCGGCCACACUGGAACUGAGACACGGUCCAGACUCCUACGGGAGGCAGCAGUAGGGAAUCUUCCGCAAUGGGCGAAAGCCUGACGGAGCAACGCCGCGUGAGUGAUGAAGGUCUUCGGAUCGUAAAACUCUGUUAUUAGGGAAGAACAAAUGUGUAAGUAACUAUGCACGUCUUGACGGUACCUAAUCAGAAAGCCACGGCUAACUACGUG